UUAACAUAGCAGUCACGCUGGCCAAACAACAGCCAGUUGGCACCCGUCCCGUUCUCUAGUUAGAGGCUGCAAAAACUAUCGAUAGGUAUUCACGCCGCGCGUUCGCAUUAAUAUUAUUGUAAAAUAAAUAAAUAAAGUGUAUUAACCAUGUGCAAAGUGUAAAUAAAUGUGUGCGUAAGACGCGUGUGCUAAAACCCAACACCGUUUUCGCGACAAGUUCUUAUCACCGCGGCGCAACGGCAACGGCUGCGGGUUCAAGUUCGUCGCUGUCUGCGACGACAACAACAGCAACAACAACAACAACAAUUGCAACAAUUACAACUACUACAACAACAAUAAGAAACGUGACUAAUGCACUGCUCGCGUAGCCUCUCAGCUGCUGCGGAUACAACAACAUUCUUCAGCGCCGCAGCAGCAGCGUCUGCGUCCACGUCGGCGUCGGCGUCCUCUGCCAGCACAACACCAACAAUGGCCACAACAA